GAUGAACGCUGGCGGCGUGCCUAAUACAUGCAAGUCGAGCGAACAGAUAAGGAGCUUGCUCCUUUGACGUUAGCGGCGGACGGGUGAGUUACACGUGGAUAACCUACCUAUAAGACUGGGAUAACUUCGGGAAACCGGAGCUAAUACCGGAUAACAUAUUGAACCGCAUGGUUCAAUAGUGAAAGGCGGCUUUGCUGUCACUUAUAGAUGGAUCCGCGCCGUAUUAGCUAGUUGGUAAGGUAACGGCUUACCAAGGCAACGAUACGUAGCCGACCUGAGAGGGUGAUCGGCCACACUGGAACUGAGACACGGUCCAGACUCCUACGGGAGGCAGCAGUAGGGAAUCGUCCGCAAUGGGCGAAAGCCUGACGGAGCAACGCCGCGUGAGUGAUGAAGGUCUUCGGAUCGUAAAACUCUGUUAUCAGGGAAGAACAAAUGUGUAAGUAACUGUGCACAUCUUGACGGUACCUGAUCAGAAAGCCACGGCUAACUACGUG
rnacentral:rRNA from 1 species